UCUGACUGCAACACUUCUGCUUUUUGACUGAGAGGGACAAUCCUUUAAUCAGACGUGUCCGUUUAAGUGAAUCAGUGAUUUUUGAUUACAAUGAGAUAAAGGAUCAUUCAAAGACAUUGUCUGAUCAUCAUCAUCACCACCAUCAUCAUCAUCAUCAACAUCAUCAUCAAGUCAACAUCAUCAUCAUCAUCAACAUCAUCAUCAAGUCAACACUGCAUCGUAUGGAUAGAGCUUUAACUUCAAAAGGACCAGACACCAACAGCAGAAUAUGAUGCUAUUCUGUAUACUGUUACUUCAUAGAGAGGAACUCUAGAAAAGCCUGAGAUGUUUGUAGUGAGAGUGAAGCUCUGUCUGAAUGGGAUGUUUCAGUUCCUGUCCUCUCAGUAGAGAGAGUGAAGCUCUGUCUGGAUGGGAUGGUUCAGUUCCUGUCCUCUCAGUAGAGAGAGUGAAGCUCUGUCUGAAUGGGAUGUUUCAGUUCCUGUCCUCUCAGUAGAGAGAGUGAAGCUCUGUCUGAAUGGGAUGUUUCAGUUCCUGUCCUCUCAGUAGAGAGUGGGGAGGUUAUUGUACGGCUGUGUAAACAAACUGAAUCACUGUGGUAUUCGGACAAGGAACCAAGCUCAUUGUUACUGACUCUACCCUCCCUCUGCCUGUCUGACCAUCCUCCUCCGUCCAGCGAUGAGUUGAAGUCCAGCAAAGUCACCCUGGUGUGUCUGGCCAGUCAGAUGGCCAUGGGCACGCAGAUGUCAGCUGGACCGCUGGGGGAAUCCGGUCACCGGCGGCAUCGCAACGAGUGGCCGGUGCCGCAGCCAACAAGACGUUCCAGCUCAGCAGCUGUCUGACCGUUGACACGUCAGAAUGGAACCAGGACAAAGUGUUCCAUGUAAAGUCACCGCGGGAUCCAAGUUCGCUGAGAAAGGCAUCAAGAAGUCUGAAUGCAGCACUGAAAGCCUGAAACCAUUGUCAUGUCUAUUUCAUUUUCUCACUACUUUUCAAGUUAUUGUUAACGCAAAAAUGUUUAACCUGCAUAUAUACAUUAUGUUCCAUAAAAGAUAAAUAGCUAAUCACACUGAAUCAUAGGCUAAAUGAUAAGUAGACUUGUUAAUUUGAAAUGGGUUGUUUUGCAGAUGAUUAAUAAGGA
rnacentral:lncRNA from 1 species